AUGGCGAAGCGCCCGCGUCACGGCGGCGCUGGCCGCUCCAGAUUGCGGCCCUUAGAGGGGAAGCUCCGCCGCUGCAUAUUGAACGGCGGCCUAGCUGUCGCCGGCGCCUCCGCCGAGGAAGUCGGCGACACCCUCCGCUUCCACCACCCCGAGUUCCGCCGCCAGAAGCUCGACCCUUUCACCGCUUUGGUCCGCCGCGUCCUCUCCUCGAUACCCUCCUCCUCAUCCUCCUCCGGCUCCGACGACGACGACGAUGACGGAUCCUCCGCAUCCCGUCGUCGCCACGACGCCCACGCUACGACCUCCUCCUCUACCUCCGUCUUCGACGAGGCCACACACCCGCCGCCGUCCCCCGCCUUCGACGUCACCAAGUCCUUGCUCCGCUCCCAGUACGCCGCGCGCGUGCAAACGCCCAAGCGGAACCCCGCCGCUAACCAGCAGCAGCUGGAGAUUGAGGUGAAUGCAGAGAAGGCGCGCCGCCUCAUCACGUCCGACGGGGGCGCCGGCGGAGAUGCUAAGCCGGACGCCGCGGCCUCUGAAGGAAUAGUCAGAAGGGAGAAGGGGCCGAGGUUCGCCGAUCUCGGUGGGAUGGAGGCGGUGAUAGAGGAGCUGAUGAUGGAAGUGGUCGUGCCCCUGUGCCAUCCGGAGCUGCCGCAGCGCCUUGGGGUUAGGCCUGUCGCUGGGUUGCUGCUACAUGGACCGCCUGGUUGCGGAAAGACCACACUUGCGCAUGCCAUUGCCAAUGAGACUGGUGUGCCAUUCUACAAGAUCUCAGCCCCGGAGGUCGUAUCUGGGGUAUCUGGAGCUUCUGAGGAAAACAUCAGGGGCUUGUUUCAGAAGGCUUAUAGGACUGCUCCCUCGAUUGUAUUCAUUGAUGAAAUAGAUGCAAUUGCAUCCAAGAGGGAGAAUUUGCAACGAGAGAUGGAGCGACGGAUAGUUACUCAAUUAAUGACAUGCAUGGAUCAAUUCCACCAGAAUAUUGGAUCCAGCAGCAGUGAUUUGGAUGCAGAAUCAGCUGAAAAGAAACCUGGUUAUGUUAUUGUCAUUGGAGCCACAAAUAGGCCUGAUGCUGUGGAUCAAGCUCUGCGGCGGCCAGGAAGGUUUGAUCGAGAGAUAUCUCUUGGUGUUCCAGAUGAGAAUGCACGGAAACAGAUACUUAAGAUGCUUACUCAGAAUCUCCGACUUGAAGGCGAAUUUGACUUGUUCAAGAUAGCUAGGGCCACACCAGGUUUUGUUGGUGCUGACCUGAAGGCGUUAGUGGACAAAGCAGGCAAUCUAGCAAUGAAGAGAAUAAUUGAUGAAAGAAGAGCUCAGUACCGUCGUAAUCAUGAUGGGAAUAGCAAGCAUGACUGGUGGAGACAACCUUGGGAUGCCAGUGAGGUGGAGGGCCUACAUAUUACAAUGGACGACUUUGAGGAAGCAACAAAAAUGGUUCAACCAUCCUUGAGAAGAGAAGGGUUUUCAUCUGUGCCUGAUGUCACAUGGGAUGAUGUUGGAGGUCUGGAUUCAUUAAGGAAAGAGUUUGACCGCUGCAUUAUUCGACGUAUCAAGCAUCCUGAAGAUUAUGAGGUGUUUGGAGUGAAUAUGCAAGCUGGCUUCCUGUUGUUUGGACCUCCAGGCUGUGGGAAAACACUAAUUGCAAAAGCAGUGGCCCAUGAGGCAGGGGCUAAUUUUAUUCAUAUCAAGGGACCUGAACUAUUGAACAAGUAUGUUGGGGAAAGUGAAUCAGAAGUGAGGAAAAUAUUCACUCGUGCACGCACAAAUUCCCCAUGCAUCCUAUUUUUCGAUGAGGUAGAUGCUUUGACAACAAAGAGAGGGAAAGAGGGAGGAUGGGUUGUUGAACGUCUCCUAAAUCAGUUACUUAUUGAACUUGAUGGUGCUGAUCAACGGCAAGGUGUCUAUGUGAUAGGAGCUACAAACAGAAUUGAUGUGAUAGAUGAUGCUGUUCUACGGCCUGGUAGAUUUGGGAAGAAACUUUAUGUACCUUUACCUGGUGCGGAAGAGCGGGUCUCAAUAUUAAAAGCACAUGCUCGAAGCAAGCCCAUCUCAUUUGAUGUCGAUUUGGCUGCACUGGCACAUCGUGAGGAAUGCAACAAUCUCACUGGAGCCGACCUAGCAUCACUGGUCAAUGAAGCAGCCAUGGCAGCAUUGGAAGAGAGAUUGGAAUUCCUUGAGAAUGGGACAUCGUCAAUGAAUUCCUCGUCUUUGAUCGAGCUCUCACACUUCGAACGUGCUCUAUCAAAGGUUAAGCCAUCAGUAUCUGAACAGCAAAUUAAACACUACGAGGCAUUGUCAAAGAGAUACUCGUCAAACUGAUGGAUCACCAUGUCUCUGUUUUGGUGUAUGUAUGAUAAACUUUGUGAAAGUGGAUGGCUGCAGGGAGUACCCAAUUCUGAAGUGGAUAAGCUCGUGUUGACAUAGCUUGCCCUCCCGGCUCGUCGGCGAUGGCAAUCACCGGCAUCCUAUCCCCAGCCGCAACACUGGCCUGCAUCCCGAUGGUAGAGUCCAGCGAAGGCGCCGAGCAGGUCGAGCGCCCUGAGGUAGGGGGCGGGGAAGGGCUUGGAGCGCUUGCAGUCCUCGCCGGUGACGAUGAGCUGGAAGAAGUCGGAGAGGCCGAGGAUGGAGAUCAGAUGGUCACCGCCGCACGCUUAGCUCAGGCAGCGACAUGCUUGACGUGACUACUGAAGAACGUUGGGUAUGCAAAGAGGACGUACGUGGACAUAAUUCAGUUGACUCUUUGGUUUUUUUCACUAUCCAGAUAUUUCAGUUUUUUUUUUCACUUGUCAGCAAAUAUGCUGAUCUUGUUACGGAAUAUCUUGAACUAUUGCAACACUUUCAGCACCAACACAUGUUGCCCAGUGCCUGAUUGUUCCCUUGAAAUCCAGCGACUUUGGAGUUUUGCAGCACCCAUGUGUUUGAUACACAGUAGAGGAUCAUGAGGAAGACUCCUGACAAGGACAUAACAAUUUAUCUCUUCAGAAAUCAAGUAUCGCAGCUUCGGAUACAGUGGGUGAGAAUUGGAGCUAUUUCGGCUCAUUUGUCAGGUAUAAAAGCAUUGUUCAUGUUGAA